AACCUGUGAAAAACACUUCUAAUAUUCAUAUUCAAUCAAUCUCAACUCCAAUAAUCAUCAACAAGGUCUCAAUUAUUUUUCAACAACAUUUCCAUCACUCAAACAUUCAUUUCUCAUAGCAUUCAUAUACAAUCAAUAAUAAUAAAAGAAAUUUUCAUUCAUAAACAUAAUUUUUCACUAUUUAUGUUAACAUCAAAAUACAUUACAUAAAUUUCA
rnacentral:misc_RNA from 1 species